rfam:Mesorhizobium sp. L48C026A00 scaffold0066, whole genome shotgun sequence.
UGUCAAGAGUUUUAAGCGUCGAUUCGGCGGACGGAUUUCUUUUGCCUAAUUGAAGGCGAAGGAAGAAA